rnacentral:rRNA from 1 species
GAGCGGACGAAGGGAGCUUGCUCCCGGAUGUUAGCGGCGGACGGGUGAGUAACACGUGGGUAACCUGCCUGUAAGACUGGGAUAACUCCGGGAAACCGGAGCUAAUACCGGAUAGUUCCUUGAACCGCAUGGUUCAAGGAUGAAAGACGGUUUCGGCUGUCACUUACAGAUGGACCCGCGGCGCAUUAGCUAGUUGGUGAGGUAACGGCUCACCAAGGCGACGAUGCGUAGCCGACCUGAGAGGGUGAUCGGCCACACUGGGACUGAGACACGGCCCAGACUCCUACGGGAGGCAGCAGUAGGGAAUCUUCCGCAAUGGACGAAAGUCUGACGGAGCAACGCCGCGUGAGUGAUGAAGGUUUUCGGAUCGUAAAGCUCUGUUGUUAGGGAAGAACAAGUGCAAGAGUAACUGCUUGCACCUUGACGGUACCUAACCAGAAAGCCACGGCUAACUACGUGCCAGCAGCCGCGGUAAUACGUAGGUGGCAAGCGUUGUCCGGAAUUAUUGGGCGUAAAGGGCUCGCAGGCGGUUUCUUAAGUCUGAUGUGAAAGCCCCCGGCUCAACCGGGGAGGGUCAUUGGAAACUGGGAAACUUGAGUGCAGAAGAGGAGAGUGGAAUUCCACGUGUAGCGGUGAAAUGCGUAGAGAUGUGGAGGAACACCAGUGGCGAAGGCGACUCUCUGGUCUGUAACUGACGCUGAGGAGCGAAAGCGUGGGGAGCGAACAGGAUUAGAUACCCUGGUAGUCCACGCCGUAAACGAUGAGUGCUAAGUGUUAGGGGGUUUCCGCCCCUUAGUGCUGCAGCUAACGCAUUAAGCACUCCGCCUGGGGAGUACGGUCGCAAGACUGAAACUCAAAGGAAUUGACGGGGGCCCGCACAAGCGGUGGAGCAUGUGGUUUAAUUCGAAGCAACGCGAAGAACCUUACCAGGUCUUGACAUCCUCUGACAACCCUAGAGAUAGGGCUUUCCCUUCGGGGACAGAGUGACAGGUGGUGCAUGGUUGUCGUCAGCUCGUGUCGUGAGAUGUUGGGUUAAGUCCCGCAACGAGCGCAACCCUUGAUCUUAGUUGCCAGCAUUCAGUUGGGCACUCUAAGGUGACUGCCGGUGACAAACCGGAGGAAGGUGGGGAUGACGUCAAAUCAUCAUGCCCCUUAUGACCUGGGCUACACACGUGCUACAAUGGACAGAACAAAGGGCUGCGAGACCGCAAGGUUUAGCCAAUCCCACAAAUCUGUUCUCAGUUCGGAUCGCAGUCUGCAACUCGACUGCGUGAAGCGGAAUCGCUGUAUCGCGA